rnacentral:rRNA from 1 species
UGACCUCGGAUCAGGUAGGAAUACCCGCUGAACUUAAGCAUAUCAAUAACCCGGAGGAAA